UACGUAGGGGGCAAGCGUUGUCCGGAUUUAUUGGGCGUAAAGAGCGUGUAGGCGGCUAUACAGGUCCGCUGUGAAAACUCGAGGCUCAACCUCGAGACGUCGGUGGAAACCGUAUGGCUAGAGUCCGGAAGAGGAGAGUGGAAUUCCUGGUGUAGCGGUGAAAUGCGCAGAUAUCAGGAAGAACACCCGUGGCGAGGGCGGCUCUCUGGGACGGUACUGACGCUGAGACGCGAAAGCGUGGGGAGCGAACAGG
rnacentral:rRNA from 1 species